UGGGGAAUUUUGGACAAUGGGCGCAAGCCUGAUCCAGCCAUGCCGCGUGAGUGAAGAAGGCCUUCGGGUUGUAAAGCUCUUUCAGACGGAAAGAAAUCGGUGCGUUUAAUACAUGCACUGGAUGACGGUACCGUAAGAAGAAGCACCGGCUAACUACGUGCCAGCAGCCGCGGUAAUACGUAGGGUGCGAGCGUUAAUCGGAAUUACUGGGCGUAAAGCGUGCGCAGGCGGUUAUGUAAGACAGAUGUGAAAUCCCCGGGCUCAACCUGGGAACUGCGUUUGUGACUGCAUAACUAGAGUACGGCAGAGGGAGGUGGAAUUCCACGUGUAGCAGUGAAAUGCGUAGAGAUGUGGAGGAACACCGAUGGCGAAGGCAGCCUCCUGGGCCAGUACUGACGCUCAUGCACGAAAGCGUGGGGAGCAAACA
rnacentral:rRNA from 1 species